CCCAGGAGGCGCUGGGGCCCGGCGCGCGCUCGGGAGUGGCAGCUCAGCAGCCUAUACCCGCGUCUCUCCGUAGCGGCCGGCGCCCGGCGGCGAGGAGGAGCCGCCGGCGCCGCUGGUAUCCCCGGCCGGUCGCCGAGAAGUGCAGUGGUCGCGUCCCACGGUGGCUCGUGGGUGCGCGGGGCUGCGCCGCCGCCUGUGUUCUCCCCAGCCCCCCACUCUGUAAGAGCCGGGAGACCUCGUUCACUCGUGUUUACGGGAAAUGCUGUUGGCCAGAGAGAUAAUGGUUCUGUUCAGGAAAACACCUGCGCCUGCAUUUCGUGUGUCGCUUCAGGGGUUCAUGGAGUUCUGAAGUCCACCUGGGGGGCCUGAGCAGCGAGCUCCAGGCGCAGAUGCCGCUGUGUCCCAGCGCGCCCGGACUUUGUCAUCGUUUUACAUAUGUCACCUUCGCGAAAGAGCUCUUUGGAUGCACGAGUUCUGCCGGGAAUCGAGGGAAGAACACUCAGGUGUGCCUGUAUUUCCAGUUCCAACUCUAAUUAAGCCCUUCCCAUCAGGACUGCUUUCUAGUCUCACAUGGGCAUAACGAGACUGUCACCUGCCUGGUAGUGUGAGGGCCACCUCAUUCAAAUCCUUGUCAUGUUUGUGGAACAUUCCCUUGUACGCCACAUUUGCCAGUUAGUUAAAAACUGUAAACAGCUGAAAUGCCCAUCACUAGGCGACUGGCUAAGUAAAUUUUGGCGAAUCUAUUCCAUGGACGUCACUGCAUUCAUUGGAACUAUGCCGUGGUUUUCCAUGUGCUAAUGUGCAGAGACGGUCACUACAUGACUUGAAUAAAAGCACGUUUACAGUACAGUGUGGCAAUAUAAUCCCAUGUUUGUAAACAAUGGGAAAAAUGUUUUCAAAAUUCAAAUAUCUGAAGGGAGACAAGAAAUAACAUGGCAACCUGUGGAAAGUAGAAGUAGGGACAGGGAUUGUGCUUUUCAUUUUAUGUGCUCCCUAUAUUUUUUGCAUUUUUCAAUGAGCAUUUAAACUUUUUGUGACACUUGAAACAUACUCCAUGAAUAUAUUCAACGUGGGGCUUGAACUCAUGACCCUGAGAUUGAGCGUUGCAUGCUCUUAGGACUGGGCCAGCCAGGUGGCCUCCCCGCUCAUAUUUUUUAUAACAAAAACUUAAAUGAAACCUCACUAACUGGAACAUUUUUCCAUUGCAAUGCAGACGAUUCAGAAAAUGAUUUUUAAAAUGCAGACUGUGCCCACAGAGAAACACAUAUGUGAGGUUUUCAAAUAACAUGCAAGGUUUGCCAGUACUGGAGAAGCAGAGCAGAUUUGCUGCUAAAGUUAAACACACAGCACAAACCGACCUCUAAACUCACACACACACACACACACACACACACACACACACAUACUGCAGACAUCAAAUUAAUGCACAUCCAAACUUAAGAUUUCAAGCCUUGAUUCUUUUGACAUUACAGACUAGAAACUAUAAUUAAAAAAAUAUAUGAUUGAAAUAAGCUGAAAUUCCUUCACUUGCCCAGGAAGGCCUUAGUAUUUGCACCACAGCCUUCACACGGGGGCGACCUGGCCGGGCAUCCCCUCCAAGCUCAGGUGGCACUUCUGCCUCC
ensembl:lncRNA